ACUCUAGCGAGACUGCCGGUGUCAAACCGGAGGAAGGUGGGGAUGACGUCAAGUCCUCAUGGCCUUUAUGCCCUGGGCUGCAAACGUGCUACAAUGGCGUAUACAGAGCGAUGCGAGGUCGCAAGGCGGAGCAAAUCGCAAAAAGUACGCCCCAGUUCGGAUUGCAGGCUGCAACUCGCCUGCAUGAAGUCGGAAUCGCUAGUAAUCGGAGAUCAGCUACGCUCCGGUGAAUACGUUCCUGAGCCUUGUACACACCGCCCGUCAAGUCAUGGAAGCCGGGAGCGCCCGAAGUCGUCGUGUUUCAGCGGCGCCAACGGCGAGUUCGGUGACUGGGACUAAGUCGUAACAAGGUAGCCGUAGGAGAACCUGCGGCUGGAUCACCUCCUUUCUAAGG
rnacentral:rRNA from 1 species